rnacentral:lncRNA from 1 species
GUCCUGCGCAUCUCCUACGGCCUCCAGGACAGAGGAACCGGGGGAGGCAGGGGGAAAAGGCCGGCCCAGCAAUUCCCCUACCCCCCGGUCCCACGUGUACCCUCCUGGCCUGGGUCGCCCCAGCCCACGGGGAGCGGGCGGAGUCCUGGCCCACGAAGCCUUGUCACCUGGCGGGCGAAUCCGCAAGCGGAGACUUGUCUUUAAAGGGCUUUGGGCCGGGCGCGGUGGCUCAUGCCUGGAAUCCCAGCACUUUGGGAGGCCGAGGCGGUGGAUCACGAGGUCAGGAGUUCAAGACCAGCCUGGCCAAGAAGACCCAGGAACGAAAGCGCAGGGAGCAGAGGCUGGACCGUCCUCUGUCAGUUCCCUCGUUCCCCUGGAGUGGAGCUCUGAGCCCUGGGACCACAGAGUUGGCUGUUACACUGGAAACACUGAUCAGACCUUUGGACUCAGCUGAGAUAUUCACUGAGUGCAUAGUGUGUGCGCCAGGCCCUGUUCUGGGAGAUGACAGGCAAGGCCACUGACUUCGUGGAGCUCGCCCCCUAACGGUGAAGACAAACAGUGACUGACUAAGGAAAAAAAAAAAAGAACCCUGACGCUUGGCAUGGUCCAUGGCCCCCUCCACACAGCCAGUUGGCCAGGGAGCCGAGGCAGCCUGUAAACGCUCUGCCUGGAGCUGCUCGUAAACAAAAACAGAGUGAUCCACAAAAGGGCCCCAGAGUCUGGCACUGAAUGGAAUCCUACCUUCGGUCCAGCAACUGGAGAACGAAAGUCCACAUCCUGAUGACUGGUUCUGCACCUGGGGCUUAGAGCACAUAGCAAGGGGCUGAGAAGCAGCCACCACAUAAUCAGUGACUGCAAUUUCAUCACACAGUCCUCCAUGCCAGGCCCUGUGGGGAAACCAAGAUAUGUAAGGCAAGCCCUGCUCUUCGGAAUUUCUAAUCUCAGUACUGAAAAGUUAAUAACAUAAGGACGCAGCCUAUCUGUGGUAACACCAUGGCAUGAGCUGUGUGGAUUCCAAGUGCUGAAUGAAGCUGGAAGGGCAGAGGUCACAUCGGGCCAGUAUGUGCUUCUUGGAAGAGGUGGCAUUUGAGUCACUUGAAGAAUGAGCAGGAGAUGAGGGAUGGGAAGGAGAAGGCAUUCCUGGGAUGCCAUGAGCAAAGUGUCACAGUUUUGCAUUGAUCACUGUCAUCCAUGUAAGAGCAAGGACAGCUCAGGCAGGUGGUGGCCAUAGAAUGGAGGUGGACACAUAAAUAUGUGGAGAAAGAAGGAAGUCUUUGGGUUAAAAGGCCAAGACUUGACACCUGUGAGGACCUGGAAUCUAACCCUGUGUUUGUCUGUAAACCCAAGGCAAGUCACCCUUCUUCCGAGGCACAGUUUCUUCACCUGUAAAAUGAAGGGACUGGGCAAGACGGUUUCUAAAGUUCCUAGGGCCAGGUGCAGUGGCUCACGCCUAUCUUCACAAUACUUUGGGAGGCUGAUGCAGAAGGAUCACUGGAGCUCCCUCAAGACCAGCCUGGGGAACACAGGAAGAACCUUGUCUCUACAAAAAAUUAAAAAUAUUAGCUGGACAUGGUGGCAGGACCUGUGGUUCCAGCUACUCAGGAGGCUGAGUGGGGAGGAUAUUUUGAACCUGGGAGGUCGAGGCUGCAGUGAGCUGUGAUCACACCACUGCACUUCAGCCUGGGCAAUAAAUAAAUAAACAAGUAA